rnacentral:misc_RNA from 1 species
CCUCCUUAUACGAUUUAGAACUUAUUUGUUCGUAGUGUCCACACAGAUGAUUGUUAGUUAGUUUUACCCUUUGGGUUUAACUGAUUAAUAUGCUCUUUAAAAAUUUGGAAAAGCUGAUAAUAAAAUUCGUAUGAAUAACAGUGUUAUUUGUACAGAGUUUUCAAAAGUAAAAAAGAAUGAUAGCAGUAUCAUUCAGUGCCAAUUUAAUCAUUUAUGAUUAAUUGGUAUCUACUUUAGUAUUCAAUAUUAACUUCUGGCGAAGUUAAACUGUCACAUAACAAAGACCCGUUUGGGUUGUAUGGUUAAGUGACUAAGCGUACACGGUGGAUGCCU